AGACAGCAGGGGGUUCACAUGUUACCUGGAGGAAGCGGGAACAGGAUGGGACGAUUAUACCGCAACGUAUGAGAAAAACUCAAUCUGUUAAAUCUGGCCACACUAGUCAGUUUUCAGAAGCUGAGGUGUCACAGACUGAUGAUGAUCCUCCAGAGCUCCCAAAUCUUUAGCAACAUCUUCAGGAACUCAGGGAUCUCGUGAACUCUGUCAUUGUCCCUGCAUCAGUCCAAGUGGAGGAGACACCUGCCAUGUCUACAUGGACUAAAAGACAGUCCGCUGUUGAAAAAAAGUUCCGAACUGCAGUGCCAGAGCUGUUGGAUAGCAAAUUUGCCGCUGAGACAGUCCAUACAGCCUCUAUCUGCCUGCUGUGUGCUGUCCCCUUUGUUCCUCCAAAUGGACCCCAGGGAUGAGUGAUUUCCUUGGCCUCAAAUAUUGGCCAGCAACCCCAAGGUUCCAGUUGCUGUUCAAAUUUGAUGUGUUCACAUCAUUUCAGCAGAUGAAGUUAGACAGCCCAGCUUUAUCACAGCAAGCGUUUAUCAGAAUGCUUGAACAUGGAGCCCUUAGUACAGGAC